GACGAACGCUGGCGGCGUGCUUAACACAUGCAAGUCGAACGGAAAGGCCCUGCUUUUGUGGGGUGCUCGAGUGGCGAACGGGUGAGUAACACGUGAGUAACCUGCCCUUGACUUUGGGAUAACUUCAGGAAACUGGGGCUAAUACCGGAUAGGAGCUCCUGCUGCAUGGUGGGGGUUGGAAAGUUUCGGCGGUUGGGGAUGGACUCGCGGCUUAUCAGCUUGUUGGUGGGGUAGUGGAUUACCAAGGCUUUGACGGGUAGCCGGCCUGAGAGGGUGACCGGCCACAUUGGGACUGAGAUACGGCCCAGACUCCUACGGGAGGCAGCAGUGGGGAAUAUUGCACGAUGGGCGGAAGCAUGAUGCAGCAACGCCGCGUGCGGGAUGACGGCCUUCGGGUUGUAAACCGCUUUCGCCUGUGACGAAGCGUGAGUGACGGUAAUGGGUAAAGAAGCACCGGCUAACUACGUG
rnacentral:rRNA from 1 species